rnacentral:rRNA from 1 species
GAUCAUGGCUCAGGAUGAAACGCUGGCGGCAUGGCCUAAUACAUGCAAGUCGAACGAGAAGUACUUGUACUUCUAGUGGCGAACGGGUGAGUAACACGUAGAUAACCUGCCCUCAAGACUGGGAUAACCGAUGGAAACGUCCGCUAAUACCCGGAUAGGUAAUCGAAAGGCACCUUUCGAUUAUUAAAGAUGGGACACAUCGCCAAAGGAUGGGCCUGCGUCUGAUUAGCUAGUUGGUGGGGUAACGGCCCACCAAGGCGAUGAUGGGUAUCCGGCCUGAGAGGGUGAUCGGACACAUUGGGACUGAAAUACGGCCCAGACUCCUACGGGAGGCAGCAGCUAANAAGUAUUCCGCAAUGGACGAAAGUCUGACGGAGCGACGCCGCGUGAACGACGAAGGUGGAAACAUUGUAAAGUUCUUUUAAUUGAGAGGAAUAAGCUUUGUAGGAAAUGACAGAGUGGUGACUGUAUCAAUUGAAUAAGCAUCGGCUAACUCCGUG